GACGAACCACCCAAACGUUAUUCGGAAUCACUGGGCUUAAAGCGUGCGUAGGCGGCCCGGAAAGUUAGGUGUGAAAUGCCACAGCUCAACUGUGGAAUUGCGCUUAAAACUACCGGGCUCGAGGGAUAUAGAGGUGAGCAGAACAGAUGGUGGAGCGGUGAAAUGCGUUGAUAUCAUCUGGAAUACCGGAGGCGAAGGCGGCUCACUGGGUAUCUUCUGACGCUGAGGUACGAAAGCCAGGGGAGCGAACGGGAUUAGAUACCCCCGUAGUCC
rnacentral:rRNA from 1 species